UUUAUGGAGAGUUUGAUCCUGGCUCAGGACGAACGCUGGCUGCGUGCUUAACACAUGCAAGUCGAACGCUGAAGCCUGGUGCUUGCACCGGGUGGAUGAGUGGCGAACGGGUGAGUAACACGUGAGUAACCUGCCCCUGACUUCGGGAUAAGCCCGGGAAACUGGGUCUAAUACCGGAUACGACC
rnacentral:ncRNA from 1 species